UACGUAGGGGGCUAGCGUUGUCCGGAAUCAUUGGGCGUAAAGAGCGUGUAGGCGGCCAGAUAAGUCCGCUGUGAAAUCUCGAGGCUCAACUUCGAGCUGUCGGUGGAAACUGUCUGGCUAGAGUCCGGAAGAGGAGAAUGGAAUUCCUGGUGUAGCGGUGAAAUGCGCAGAUAUCAGGAGGAACACCGGUGGCGAAGGCGGAUCUCUGGGCCUUACCUGACGCUCAGGCGCGAAAGCUAGGGGAGCGAACAGG
rnacentral:rRNA from 1 species